CACUCUGUCACUCAGGCUGGAGUGCAGUGGUGCAAUCUUGGUUCAUUGCAGCCUCUCCAACUCCCAGGCUCAGAUGAUCCUCCUGCCUCAGCCUCCCAAGUAGCUGGGACUACAGGUACAUGCCACCAUACCCCAGCUAAUUUUUUCUCUGGGUAGCUGUGAUGGUUAAUACUGAGUGUCAACUUGAUUGGAUUGAAGGAUGCAAAGUAUUGAUCCUGGGUGUGUCUGUGAGGGUGUUGCCAAAAAAGAUUAACAUUUGAGUCAGUGGGCUGGGAAAGGCAGACCCACCCUUAAUCUGGGUGGGCACCUUUAAUCAGCUGCCAGCAUGGCUAGAAUAUAAAGCAGGCAGAAAAACAUGAGAAGACUAGACUGGCCUAGCCUCCCAGCCUACAUCUUUCUUCUGUGCUGGAUGCUUCCUGCCCUCGAACAUCAGACUCCAGGUUCUUCAGUUUUGGGACUUGGACUGGCUUUCCUUGCUCCUCAGCUUGCAGAUGGCCUACUGUGGGACAUUGUGAUUAUGUGAGUUAAUACUUAAUAAACUCAGUUCUGUCCCUCUAGAGAACCCUGACUAAUAAAGUAGCUUUUGACAAUGCUGACCACACUCUACUUUCUGAAACCCUCUCCUCUCUCACCAUUUUUAGUCUCUGGCUUCUCUAUUCCACCAACAUCUCUGAUUGCCUUUUCUCUCUUACCCCGUAAGUGUUGUUGCUCCCUGGUUUGAAUCUUUUGCUUACCUCUUUUGGUGUCUGACUUCACUCUACAGACUAGAGGCUAGGUCUUUAGUUUCUAGAUUUCUUUUGAGUUCUGAGCUUCACCUCGUCUUAUCUCUGCAAACAGAAACCCCAGAUAGCUGCUCAUUCCUGCUCCAACUCUUGCUUCUGUUUCAGGGCCCAGUGUCUCAGCAAAGACUUAGAACAUGGUGCUACUUUCUUCCUCUCCCAAGAAGUCAUAGAACAGGUCUCACUACGUUGCUCAGACUGAUCUGGAACCCCUGGCUUCAAGUGACCCUCUCACCUCAGCCUCCCAAAGCGCUGGGAUUACAGGUAUGAGCCACUGCACCCCACCAUUAUCAUUAUUUUAGAGUGUACUCCUACAUAUAGAUAUAAAGUUAAGUGUAAAACAGCCUCACGCAGGUCCUUCAGGAGGUAUCCAGAAGAAGGCAUUGUUAUCAUAGGAGAUGACAGCUCCAUGCCUGUUACUUCCCCUGAGGACCUUCCAGUGGGACAAGCUGUGGAGGUGGAAGACAGUGAGAUUGACAAUCCUGAGCCUGUGUAGGCCUAGGCUAAUGUCUGUGUUUGUGUAAAAACACACACAAAAAUAAAAUAAAAAGUUUGAAAAUAGAAAAAAGUUUACAGAAUAAGGAUAUAAAGAAAGAAAACAUUUCUGUACAGCUGUACAAUGUAUAUUUUAAGCUGUUAUUACAAAAGAGUCAAAAAGCUAAAAAAAUUCGAAGGUGUAUAAAGUAAAAACGUUACAGUAAGCUAAGGUUAAUUUAUUAUUGAAGAAAGAAAAAUAUUUUAAACAUAAAUUUAAUGUAGCCUAAGUGUACAGUGUUUAUAAAGUCUACUGUAGUAUACAGUCAUGCCCUGUGCCUUCACAUUCACUCACCACUCACUGACUCACCCAGAGCAACUUCCAGUUUUGCAAGCUCCAUUUGUGAUGAAGAAACUGAGGCACUAAAGGAAGACAUGACUGCCCAGGGUCUCCCAGCUGGCUAGGCACCCACUGGGAAUGAAACCCAGCUCUCCUGACCCAAGACAAGCCCUCUUUUCUCCCAUCUCGACACCCGCACUUGGAAAUGGGUUGCUGCAGUAGGAAUUUGAAGUCUAGCAUUUUUUCCCCUUGCAAUCAAUUGAUACUGAUUUUCUUAUGAGUACAAAAUGAAUUGUCCAACACCAUUCGCAUAUCAGCUUGUGGCAGCAGUAAUAGUCACUAACAUUUAGAAAGGGGUGGCAUGGAAUUCACCUAGAGUUGACUCCCCACUGUGUGGUCAGUUCAUGAGCAUCUGCCCUGUGCUCAGCACCUUUCACACUGAUGUGACAAAUUCAGGAUGCAUCUCCAACUUUAAUAUGUACAUGAGUCACCUGGGAAUCUUGUUAAAGUGCGGAUUCUGAUUCAAGAGGUCUAGGUGGGACCUGAGACUCUAAUAAGCUCCCAGGUGAUCCUGGGGUUGCCAGUUCACAGACCACAUUUUGGGUAUUGAAAGUCUAGGUACCUCUGCUAGUUUGCUGAAUGCAACUGAGAAAGAAACCUCAGGGUUAAUGCUUGCAUUUUUCUGUCUUCAUUUCUCCAUUGUCCUACUCUCCUCCCUUGGAAGGCUCCAGCUUAGAAAAAGAAAACAUUAUGAAAUAGCAGUGCCAAACCUGAAUUACAAUGUUAGGCAUGUAAUUAUCUGGGCAAAAGCCAGAUGUCUCAGACUAGGGUUUAGUACAGCUUGCCAGGGCUGGGUAAAGUUCCUAGAUUGAAGACACAGUUGAGACUACAUGACAUAUGCAAGAGAAAAGGGGUACCUGUGCCUGAAACUCUGGGAGGUGAGAAGUGGACAAGGGUUACUGCUGCAUAAGUAAUUGAGGAAGCUUCUCCUUCCCCACCAGACUGCAAACUGAGAUGUUUGCAUAUUAAUCUUGGCCACAGGGGUGACUCGGUCUGUGUCUGCAAAUGAAAGGUUUCAUCCUUGGCUGUGAAAUAAAAAUAGCAAAUAGCAUGUGGCAUGCAGGGGCUUUUCCUCUAUAAGGGGCUGUCACUGUCCACUGUUUAAAGCCUCUGCUUGAGCCAUCUUCAAGGAAGGAGGGUUGUGAAUGAGUGGGGGCAGAUUGCAGAGCCAGUUCGUAGACAGCAGAGAUGCUCCAGGGAAAACCUCCCUUCUCUUGCUGUUUACAUUUGCACAUACUUACCAGUUUGCCAGAACUUCUUGGUGUCAACAACUUUGACUGAGACUGCGCCACGUGAAUGUAUCUCCUGGGGACUCAGAAGAUAGCUCAGGAGGUAAAGGCAAGGCCCCCGCACUGUGAUCUGACUGAGCUUAGGAGAAUUGGGCUCCUCAAAUCUUUUUGCAAACUCAGUUUCUUCUCAGAGGAAAAUGGUAACAGUGACAAUAAGAAAAAAAUAAAACCGUAUCUCUAAAGUGGAAAAGGCUAUAACAGUUCCCAUUACUCUUCUGGAGGGAAAACCAGUUCCAGUGGGCCUAGGGUUCCACAGCUAUGUAGGGCUUCUUUACAACUGAAGACUUUAGACCAUUUGGUUUGUAUUCAGUAGGACCAGGUGGAAGAUGUGAGGAUGGGAUGGUGAAUGGGAGGUAGAUAUCUGACUUUAGAUUUCUAGGCAUUUGCCAAAAUAUUCCUCCUCCAGUCAAGACUUGUUGCCAUCGGUGAAAAUGGUUAGUCACCUUAUAACAGUUGUGAUCUUCCUAAAUGCGCUCAGCAAAGGCAAAUGGAAUGUUCUGGAUUACCAACCAAUGGCCCAGAAGGUUGUACAUCACACUGGGAAUUGUUGCUGGUCUCUUUUGUUCGAAGUUGAACUAGAGAGGUGGCAAGCAGAGGUGGAACACUCUCAUCAGUUACUAGAAAGAUUUCCCACCACCCAGAUAAGCCAUAAACCAUCUGAGGGAAAGAAAGACUAAUUCCCUCAGCCAAUAUCAGCUCUAGCUCGAUAAUAAUUCCCAUCUUGGAGAUGGGAAUAGGGAAGGCAAAUGCCCUCUUCUUCAACAAGUCUCAGAGCUUACUGUAGUGUCUCAAGGAUAAGGCUCCUAUGACCCAAGAGCUGCUGGGCAACCUGUGUGUGUCUCAGCAGAGUCGAGGGUUUGGAGGACUGCCUGGGGCAACCCAGCUGUCACUGGCUGGCCCAGGGUUUCUGUAUGAGGCCAUGAUCUUGGCUUGGCAAACAGCAAGGGAGAUUCCAGGAAAACAAAGAAAAAAAAAUCCUUUUCACUUUUAAUUCAAGUGGCCCUUCUUGCUGCCACUUUGAAUGGCUAAGACAUUUGUACUUUUUUUUUUCUUUUUUUUUGAGACGGUGUCUCACUCUGUCGCCUAGGCUGGAGUCCAGUAGCACAUUCUCGGCUCACUGCAAGCUCCGCCUCCCGGGUUCACGCCAUUCUCCUGCCUCAGCCUCCCCAGCAGCUGAGACUACAGGCACCCGCCACCACGCCUGGCUAAUUUUUUUGUAUUUUUAGUAGAGACAGGGUUUCACCGUGUUAGCCAGGGUGGUCUCCAUCUCCUGACCUCGUGAUCUGCCUGCCUCAGCCUCCCAAAGUGCUGGGAUUCAGGCGUGAGCCACCGCGCCCUGCCGGCAACAUUUGUACUUUUUAGUGGCCCCCACUUCCAGACGUGGAGUAUACAAGUGGAUGCCCACUGAUGGGGCCACUCUGUAGCUCUCCGGAGUGAGUCAACCCCAGGAUAUUGGAGGAGCAGGGAGGGGCAGAGAAAAGCUUAAUUCAUUUUUCUUAUUGUACGACUCAUCUUAAAACAUUGCAAUUUCUUUCAAGCAAAAUAGCAAGCCUUUUUUGUUUGAAUAAACAUUUUACUUUGGGAUAAUUUUAAAUUUGCAGAAAAGUUGCAAAGAUAGUACAAAGAAUUGCCAUAUACCCAGCUUCUGCCAAUGGUAACGUCUUACAUUUCUACCGUACAUUUGUCAAAACUAAGAAACUGACACAGGUGCAAUACUAUUACCUAAACUCCAGACUUAAUUUCAGUUUUGCCAGUUUGCUAUUUAAUGUGCUUUUUCUAUUCCAAGAGACAAUCCAGGGGACCAUAUUGCAUUGAGUAACAUGCUCUUUUCUAACAAAUCUCUGCUUGAGCUAAUCUAGCUGAUCUUUUAACCAACCUAACUGAGCACCUGUUCUGUACAGGGCCCUGGCUAAGCCAAGUGGGAGGGAUAAAUAAGUCCUGACAUAGUUCGCUGUCUACUUGGAGAGGCUGAUGCAUAAAUAACACUGUAAGAUGCAUGUAAUCAGAGUGGUUUGCAAACAGUGCCCCAAGAUUGUGGAGGACAGGCAUAGUUCUCUCCACCUGGGGCCUCACUGGGGCCACAUUUGCUAUGAGUCCAGGAGAAUCAGAAGGGCGUUCCUAGAUAGGGAAGUGAGCUGGAGAGGGAAAUCUGGGAAGGUGAUACAGAGUUCCACCCAAUUUGACUUUGAUAGGAAAGGGAAAGUACUGCAGGGUACUGAGCUGACUAUUUAAGAUGUGGACGCUUAGAACUAGGAAAUGUCCUGGUUUCUAAAAACAAUGAAGAGAAGUACUCUAAUACUGGGAAAAAUGUGUGAGCAUGUUAGUUGGGGGGGCUUUUCAACUGGGGCUCAUUAGGAAGAAACCCCAGCGAUCUUUCUUUCAUUAUGUGGCAGCUAGUUGAACUAUUUGAUUUUACAGCAAAGAACUCACAAAAAGAGGGCCUUUGUUCCCAGGUUGAAAGCACAAGAAAAUACCAAAAACUUGAAUCAUACCAGCAUCCAGGUAGAAAAUCAUUCAUAUCAUUUGCCAGUUGUUAAUUUUGUUGGUGGCGAUCAUCUAUGCUCUUCCCUCACCCUAGGGGUGCUGACCCUCAUCUUAGGAGAGGCUCGACUUGUAGAGCGAGGACUCAUUUCCCCCACCCAAGCCAAACAGGUGCAGGGGAAUGGAGCAGUUUGACACCAGCCGCAGCUCUGUCCUAGGAGAAGAUCAUGAUGUGACCUGGGGAUAAAGACUGAAAACAAAGCUCAAAGCAGUGCUCUCUAAAAGCAGGGUGUCCCUUGAUGUCUGAAGAAAUGACAAUGUUGACCUAUAGGCUUCUAGGUAAGGUUCCAAAAAUGUACCCUCAGGGUCCAUCUUCCAUACUCAAAGCUUAACUUCAGUUCCCCCACAAAGAUUUGCUUUCUCGACGCAAAGAAGGCCAAGAUGUAGGAUCCAUGCUCUUCUAAUGUGGUCUUCUACAAAAUUCUCAAUGGGCCCACACUCCCCAGCAAUCCCAGACUUAUGAGUCCAUAUUCCAGCUGUUUAGCUCAAGGGCUCACAAGGCAGGUGGGUUUCACUUAAAGGCAAAAGAAGAGGACAAGAGUCGUGGGGGUAGCUCCCCACAGGUGAGGGCUGGCGGUUGAGAAGGCAGGAGAAAGUGUCAGUUUCAUGGCUGACGGGAAUCCAGUGUGACUUCAAUAGCUGAAUUGAGGCCGGGCGCGGUGGCUCGUGCCUGUAACCCCAACCCUUUGGGAGGCCGAGGCAAGAGGAUCAUUUGAGCCCAGGAGUUCAAAACCAGCCUGGGUAAUGUAGUGAGACUUCGUCUUUACAAAAAAUAAUGAUAAUAAUAAUAAUAACAACUUGAGUGAGCCUUCAUCUUUCUGAGCCUCAGAUUUUCCAUCUGUAGAUGAGAAUCUUAUCACCUGCCCUGCCUAUCUUGCAAGGUUCCAGUAAGAAUUCGAAAAACAAAUGAAUGCAGAAUACAUUGCCUGGUAUAAUAAUACUCAAUAAAGGGCAGCUAUUGUUCAUAUUACUUCAUGUAUAAUAAAAAAGUUAUUUCUUAUAAUUGAAUUCCUAGUAAAUAUGAGAGUCUCCCUGCAGUAAAGAAGAGAACAAACUUUAUGCUACUAGAAAAAAUAUGUGGCUAUUUGCCUAUUGUGGUGGAGAGAAUUAUCACUCUCCAAUUCAGGACAGGGUCCACGUCCUGUACGUCACAUGGGAAAGGGGAAUUUAGGUGGCAGAUGGAAUUAAGGUUGCUAAGCAGAUGACUUUAAAAUAGGGUGACUAUCCUGAAGUUUUGGGAUGGACUUAAUGUAAUCACAAGAGUCCUUAAAAGCAAAAAAGGAAGAUGGGACUAUGCAAGGGAGGACCAGCGGGAUGGCAGCCUGAGAAGGACUUGGCCGGGCACUGCUGGCUUUGAAGAUAGAGGGAGGGAGUCCUAAGCCAAGGAAUGUAGAAACCUCUAGAAGCUGGAGAAGGUGAGGAAAUGGAUUCUCACCAAGAGCCUACAGACAGGAAUGCAGUCCCGCCGACACCUUGCUCUUAGUCCAGUAAGAUUCAUGUCAGACUUCCGAUCUACAAAACUGUAAGAUAAAAAGCAUGUGUGGGCUGGGCGCAGUGGCUCACGCCUGUAAUCUCAGCACUGUGGGAGGCCAAGGUGGGCAGAUCAUCAGAGGUCGGGAGUUCAAGACCAGCCUGACCAACAUGGUGAAACCCCAUCUCUACUAAAAAUGCAAAAUUAGCCUGGCGUGGUGGCGCAUCCCUGUAGUCCCAGCUACUUGGGAGGCUGAGGCAGGAGAAUUGCUUGAACCCGGAAGUUGGAGGUUGCAGUGAGCUGAGAUCACGCCACUGCACUCCAGCCUGGACAACAAGAGCGAAACUCUGUCUCAAAAAAAAACAACAAAAAGAAACGUGUGGCCAUGGACACAAACAAGGGAACAAUAGACACUGGGGCCUAUUCGAGAGUGGAGGGUGCGGGGGAGUGAGGAUUGAAAAACUACCUAUGGCUACUAUGCUGAUUACCUGGGUGACAAAAUAAUCUGCACACCAAACCCCUGCAACAUGUAGUUUAUCUAUAGGACAAACCUGCACAUGUAUCCCUGAACCUAAAAUAAAAGUUUAAAAAAUGUGUGUGUUGUUUUAAGCCACUUCGUUUGUGAUCAUUGGUUACAGCAGCAAUAGAAAACGGACACACCUGUCAACAGAAAUUCUGGAGUAAUGGCACAUUCUUGGAUGUAGGAAUGAUAUGUUAUUAGCUGCACAGUUUUUUGGAAACUCCUUUACUCCUCUUCUCAUGAUGAAUUAGUCACAGAUGAAUUAGUAUUUUUCCCCCCAUUUAUCUGGCAUGGAUUGUAGUUGCUGAACUAAGGCAGCUAUUUACAGCGCUCUUCUUAUACCUCCGACUAUGUUUGCAGAAACUUACAUACAAAAUACUGUUGCCUGAUUCAGGCUGCCUGGUUUGGUUUUGAACAGGGUGUGUCAAGGUACAUUCAAAGAGAAACUCUGACUCAAGGGCAAAGUGAUGUUGAUAGAGUCCAACUCAAAAUAUUUAGAGAAAAAGAUGGGUAUAGUCAGACAGUGGGCUUUCUCCCUUGUGUUUUCAAGGUUUUCCUGAGAACAACAGACAUAUUGUGGCUUUCCCCUUAGCUUACUAUUAACAUGAAGCGAGAGGUCAAUGACACUGUCUGGCUCCUCAAAGGAGCUAAGAGAAGGGAAGAAAAAUCCAAAUUCCCAGGUAAACAUCUGUAAAAGGAUUUGGAACUAAGGAUAAGGAAGUUCCGAGGCUUACUGAAAGGGAAGGGAAGGCAGCAUUAUUUACUGGCCAUGGAUCGUACUUCCUGUUGUGAAGCUCAGCACUGUUUCAUAACAGCUGGGGGCUGCUGUCUCUUCUGCUGUAAUGAGGAAGCAGCGUUCUUGGUUCCUCCAUAUUACACAAGUUAAUGACCUCUACUGCACGGUGAAAUUGGCAU
rnacentral:lncRNA from 10 species